UUGGCUCCAGGUCUUUAGAUAAUAACUCUGCCAACUAAUUGCCAAUGAGAAAAUCUUUCAAUCUGCCUGUGACCUGGAAGCACCCCUCCCCCAACCUCACGACGUUAUUUCAGUUGUCCCACCUUUCCAGACUGAACCAAUGUACAUCUUACACGUAUUCAUUGAUGUUUUGUCUCCCUAAAAUGUCAAAAACCAAACUGUGACCCAACCAGCUUGGGAAUGUUCUCAGAAUCCCCUGGGGCUUGAAAUCUAUACUUCUCAGGUGGCCAUCCUGAAACUUUGAGCUUGAAUAAACUCUCUUUAGAUUCCAAUCCUUUUGAUUAUUUUGGGUUGACAAAAGUGUGGGGACUGAGAAUUAUGUGGUGAGGAUCCCUCCACUCCUCAUUUUUUGAGAAAACUUUAAAAUGGGCGCAAAGAUUAUUGGGUGUGUAGGGGAGGAAAAAAAAACUCUUUAUCUCUAUCUACCCUUUUACAUUCUUCGUUGGGGUCCCUGUAACAGAGAUAAAUUAGGCUGGGUGCCGUGGCUCACGCCUGUAAUCCCAGCACUUUGGGAGGCCAAGGUGGGUGGAUUACCUGAGGUCAGGAGUUCCAGACCAGCCUGGCCAACAUAGUGAAACCCCGUCUCUACUAAAAAUACAAAAAUUAGCCAGGUGUGAUGGUGGGCGCCUGUAAUCCCAGCUACUUGGGAGGCUGAGGCAGGAGAAUUGCUUGAACCCAGGAGUUGAGGUUGCAGCGAGCUGAGAUCACACCACUGCACUCCAGCCUGGGCAACAGAGCGAGAGUCUAUCUCAAAAACAAAACAAAACAAAACAACACAAAUUAAGAGAAAAACAAAUAGAAGUUUAUUAACAUGUACAUCUCAUAUAUACAUAAGAGAAACU
rnacentral:lncRNA from 1 species